CAUGGNUCAGAUUGAACGCUGGCGGCANGCCUAACACAUGCAAGUCGAGCGGUAGAGAGAAGCUUGCUUCUCUUGAGAGCGGCGGACGGGUGAGUAAUGCCUAGGAAUCUGCCUGGUAGUGGGGGAUAACGUUCGGAAACGGACGCUAAUACCGCAUACGUCCUACGGGAGAAAGCAGGGGACCUUCGGGCCUUGCGCUAUCAGAUGAGCCUAGGUCGGAUUAGCUAGUUGGUGGGGUAAUGGCUCACCAAGGCGACGAUCCGUAACUGGUCUGAGAGGAUGAUCAGUCACACUGGAACUGAGACACGGUCCAGACUCCUACGGGAGGCAGCAGUGGGGAAUAUUGGACAAUGGGCGAAAGCCUGAUCCAGCCAUGCCGCGUGUGUGAAGAAGGUCUUCGGAUUGUAAAGCACUUUAAGUUGGGAGGAAGGGCAGUUGCCUAAUACGUAACUGUUUUGACGUUACCGACAGAAUAAGCACCGGCUAACUCUGUGCCAGCAGCCGCGGUAAUACAGAGGGUGCAAGCGUUAAUCGGAAUUACUGGGCGUAAAGCGCGCGUAGGUGGUUUGUUAAGUUGGAUGUGAAAUCCCCGGGCUCAACCUGGGAACUGCAUUCAAAACUGACUGACUAGAGUAUGGUAGAGGGUGGUGGAAUUUCCUGUGUAGCGGUGAAAUGCGUAGAUAUAGGAAGGAACACCAGUGGCGAAGGCGACCACCUGGACUAAUACUGACACUGAGGUGCGAAAGCGUGGGGAGCAAACAGGAUUAGAUACCCUGGUAGUCCACGCCGUAAACGAUGUNNNCUAGCCGUUGGAAGCCUUGAGCUUUUAGUGGCGCAGCUAACGCAUUAANUGNCCGCCUGG
rnacentral:rRNA from 1 species